rnacentral:lncRNA from 1 species
GGGGGGGGGGGGGGGGGGGGGGGGGGGGGGGGGGGGGGGGGGGGGGGGGGGGGGGGGGGGGGGGGGGGGGGGGGGGGGGCGCUCUUCCGAUCUCCAGGAGCAGGAAAUGCGGCAGCUGAACUCGCACCAAGCGCGAGGUGUUCCGGCAGAUGGAACAGCGGCGCGAGCAGCAGGCGCUGAAGGCCGAGAAGAAAUUCCAGGAGGGACAAAAAUUCCUGGAGCAGCUGGAGCAGAUGAAGAGGGAGGAUCGGCAGGCCUGGCAGCAGCAGCAGCAGCGCAAGCGGCAGAUCCUGGCCGAGAUGCGGGCGGUGGACGCGGAGAACCAGCGGCUGCGACAGCGCGACAGGGACCGCGACAGGCGCGCCGAGCUGCAGGCGCUGGAGGAGCAGCGCCUCAAGGGGGAGCGGGAGGCGGCGCUGGAGGCGGAGCGGGCGCAGCUGCGCCGGGAGCGGGCUGUCACCUCCCCCGGGGCUCUGUCACCUCCCCUGGGGCUCUGUCCCCCCUGCAGGGGAUGUCCUGGAGCGGUGGCAGCAGGGACAAGGCCACAGCUGGGCGCUUCCAGAGCUGUCCCCAGGGCGGCCUGGCGCUGUCCCCAGGGUUCUCUGUCAGUGUCCCCAAUGUCCCCUGUCCCUGUCAGUGUCCCCAGGGUCCCCAAUGUCCCCUGUCACUGUCAGUGUCCCCAAUGUCCCCAAUGUCCCCAGUGUCCCCUGUCCCUGUCAGUGUCCCCAGUGUCCCCAAUGUCCCCAAUGUCCCCUGUCACUGUAAGUGUUCCCGACGUCCCCAGUGUCCCCAGUGUCCCCUGUCACUGUAAGUGUUCCCAAUGUCCCCAGGGUCCUCAGUGUCCCCAGGGUGCCCAGGGUCCCCAAUGUCCCCUGUCACUGUAUGUGUCCCCAAUGUCCCCAGUGUCCCCAGGGUCCCCAAUGUCCCCAUUGUCCCCAGUGUCCCCAGUGUCCCCUGUCCCUGUCAGUGUCCCCAAUGUCCCCAGUGUCCCCUGUCACUGUAAGUAUUCCUAAUGUCCCCAGUGUCCCCAAUGUCGCCAGUGUCCCCUGUCACUGUCAC